GACGGGGGGUCCAAGCGUUGUUCGGAAUCAUUGGGCGUAAAGCGUGUGCAGGUGGUUUUGUAAGUUGGAUGUGAAAGCCCCGGGCUUAACCCGGGAAGUGCAUUCAAAACUGCAAAACUUGAGUAUGGAAGAGGGUCGUGGAAUUCCUGGUGUAGUGGUGAAAUACGUAGAUAUCAGGAGGAACACCGGUGGCGAAGGCGGCUACCUGGCCCAACAUUGACACUGAGACCCGAAAGCGUGGGGAUCAAACAGG
rnacentral:rRNA from 1 species